rnacentral:rRNA from 1 species
CCGAAGCUAACGCGAUAAAUCGACCGCCUGGGGAGUACGGCCGCAAGGUUAAAACUCAAAUGAAUUGACGGGGGCCCGCACAAGCGGUGGAGCAUGUGGUUUAAUUCGAUGCAACGCGAAGAACCUUACCUGGUCUUGACAUCCACAGAAUCUUGUAGAGAUACGAGAGUGCCUUCGGGAACUGUGAGACAGGUGCUGCAUGGCUGUCGUCAGCUCGUGUUGUGAAAUGUUGGGUUAAGUCCCGCAACGAGCGCAACCCUUAUCCUUUGUUGCCAUCGAUUAGGUCGGGAACUCAAAGGAGACUGCCGUUGAUAAAGCGGAGGAAGGUGGGGACGACGUCAAGUCAUCAUGGCCCUUACGACCAGGGCUACACACGUGCUACAAUGGCGUAUACAAAGGGAGGCGACCUCGCGAGAGUAAGCGGACCUCACAAAGUACGUCUAAGUCCGGAUUGGAGUCUGCAACUCGACUCCAUGAAGUCGGAAUCGCUAGUAAUCGUGAAUCAGAAUGUCACGGUGAAUACGUUCCCGGGCCUUGUACACACCGCCCGUCACACCAUGGGAGUGGGUUGCACCAGAAGUAGAUAGCUUAACCUUCGGGAGGGCGUUUACCACGGUGUGGUUCAUGACUGGGGUGAAGUCGUAACAAGGUAACCGUAGGGGAACCUGCGGUUGGAUCACCUCCUUAC